UACAGAGGGUGCGAGCGUUGUCCGGAAUCACUGGGCGUAAAGGGCGCGUAGGUGGCGGCCCAAGUCCGUGGUGAAAGCUCGCCGCUUAACGGCGAGUCGGCCACGGAGACUGGGUGGCUCGAGCACUGUAGGGGCAGAUGGAAUUCCGGGUGUAGCGGUGGAAUGCGUAGAGAUCCGGAAGAACACCAGUGGCGAAGGCGGUCUGCUGGGCAGUUGCUGAUGCUGAUGCGCGACAGCGUGGGGAGCAAACAGG
rnacentral:rRNA from 1 species